UAGUAUCUUUCAGUUCAUUGUGUUAUCACUGCAACUGUACUGUUCUGGUUCACGCUACACAGCUGUCGUUUCCAGCAACAAUAAGCGGCUCUGCUAAACCCACUGUACCAUACAUACCCAGCAACAAAUGGCAGAAAAAGUUAGUAAUUAGAGCACUUCGCAGCUAGCCCAAGUUAGUGCCUGUCAUAUAUUGGCAUACAUGGGGUCACAGAGGUAACCAUCAGCAAUUAACCGACAUUUAAACCGGUGGUUUAAAAGCACUUACCGCCGUUCUGACGGUAUUUCCAGAAUCCCCAGAAACUUUUCUAACGAUCUGGAUGAAGACAUAGUCCACCUGCUGCACGAUAAAAAACAUUUUUAACCCGUUUCCCAAUUUGCGACACUCUGUUUCCUGCCCAGGUAGCCGGUGGGCUGCCAUCUUUGUUUUGAUUGGGAGACGGCGCAACAACAGCCUUUUUUACCAUUCAGCAGACGGGAUAUUUUUUUAUCCAGGUGGAAGAGUCUGUGGGGAUUUUGGAAAUACCUUCAGAACAACAGUUGUGAUGACAGAAGAAAGGAGAAUAUCAAGAUUCCCCAGCAUGUGGAUUGAUAUUUACUGUAUCUGUCUCGUGCUUAAUUGCUCUGGGAAUAAUUACAUGGUGUGCCUGUAAUAAUCACUGAAUUUGAGUUUUCAUACUGGGAAAACUUGUUAACAGAGAAGAUCUUGUUAUUGCUCAAGCUUCAGAUAGGUCAUGUUGUCUCAUUCACAGUUUUCCACUCAUUGUCAACCCCAUACAUACCAAGUUCCUGAGAGGAAGGAAGUUGGUAAACAUUCCUUAUUGUAAUUUCUCCUAGAACAGGAAACUCGGGAAGAGGAGAGACAUGAUGUAACAGACAGUUAUGAGGAGUCUGCAGUAAAAAAUGUAUUAUAAUGAUUAUUUAAAUUGUCACCUAAUGUUUCAUAUCCUUUAUAAUGCAGGAUCGAAGACUUGAUGGACUCCUUUGCUAAUACUGCCACCUUUUGAUGAACCUGAAAUCAGCUUUUAAUCUUCAUCACAGGCUCACCCUGCAGACCACACCUCCUGACCUCAGGGUCCCACUCGGUCUCUUGUGUGCUCUCCUUUACCUCCAACCCUCCCAUUCCACCCAAUAUUAUCUUACCAUCAAUGAAUUUAGAAGGGGCGUGCUUUGGCAUGAAGAAGGAAAACAUGACGUAUUUGGCAGCUGUAACUACACUGAGGGGGGAGCCACCCCACAAUAAAAACAACCAGCUGAGUUUUGUUCACAAUCCCAGAUUCCACAGCACAUACACUACUCUUGGCUGGAUGGUGGAAUAGAGAGGUGGGGGAACUUAAGAGCUGGAUGGGAUGAAGGAUGGGAGGGAGCAGGCUGGAGCUGGGGAACUUGUGUGACAUUUAAGAAAAGCUGUGGAAGAGACGAUUUGGAGUGAUGUACUGUAGGGGUACAGGGGCCAAUGGGUGGAAAAUUUAAAGGGUCGGUUCAUCCAAAUGACAAAGAAAACAUUUUUAUUCAUUUUAUUUCUGCCACAAACCCCAAUACAAUGGAGUGGUGCUCACAGAACUGAAAAAUUAUAUAAAAAAAAAAUCAAAAGCAUCUCUUUCCAGAAACAAUGUCUGCUUUACUCUGGAUAAUCCACACAGUGCACUGUUAACAGUUUUCAUAGAAAAUAGUUCCAAGGCAAAAUGUUUACAAGACCUUGUGAACAGAGAAAGAGAUGUUGCUGUUUAUUUUUAAAUGCUGCAAGCUGCACAAAUCACCAUUGUAUUGGGCCAGUGGCAGAACACCCAGAGAUGCUUAUCUCAAAACCUGGGCAAAUCAAACUAUCUGCAUGGCAAGUUACUAUUAAGGUUUAAGUGGGAAAAUAUGGAUUUUCUUCUGUGUGUGUGUGAAAUUUGAGUGAGUUUGACAGAGAUUUAGAGAGAGCCUUAAGAAUGAGUAAAUGUGGAGCAGACAAUUAAAUGAGAAGUGAACUUGAUAGUCUUACUUGGGUGAAGUCUGUUGGUUUCUUUAAUCUAGACACUGUGUGUAAAAUAACAUCUUAGCUGGUGAUUCACCUCCCAGAGUUCAAGGUCAAAUAGGCUGCAAAUAACAGAGAUGUCUGAGUGUAUAUACUGUACAUACAGCGAUGUUCACGUCCACUUGGAUUUACACCGUUUAAAUUUGCACCGUGCAGCAGUCUCAAAUUGUAGAUGACCACAUUUAAGCCUAUAUAUUUAUGUCUAUGGUAUGUGCUUUUUGUGAUGGCUUAAUGGUUGUGGCAUAUUGUGACAACAGCACUGUUCUACAGCACCACUCAAUGGCCUUGAGGAAAUAUUUUCCUUGUAGGGUGUGGAAGGGGACAGGGCAGGGUAGGAAUUCACAUGGAGCUUGAUCUUGUGAUAAAAGAAGGAUGUGAGCGGGAAAUAAGCUAGUCACACUGUCACAUACAAUGCAUGGUGACAGAAAAUAAAUUAAAAAUAUGUAUAUAACCGUGAUGAUGGAUAGUGAGUCGAACCAGGACUAACAUGGUGCUCAUGAACAUGUCCUGUGCUUUUUCGAAAAGACAGCUGGUGGAUGUUUCCGCUGCCCCACCCAAACUGUGGAAGACAAAACAGUGUGAAGUGAUGUCAUUACUACUGCUUAUGCAAACCAGCUGUGUGACCUUAUGGGCUGUAUGGGAUUUAAAUUCAAUGUGUGUUAGAGCACAGAUGUAUGUAUUUGCGUGCGUGUUUGUAAGUACAUGUGCACAUGUUUCUGUGGUUAAAAAUCCCAUUGCUCUUUCUUAUGAUUGAUUUUUUUUUUAAUAAAAUGAGACUGAAAACA